CAGUACUUGUACUGGGUUGGUGCCCAGUACAACAAUCCUAGUUGUAAAUCAUUCUAGCUUCUUCUGUUAACCACCGCCACAGGAUAGCAACUAACAGACGGGUGGUGUGGUUCUGCGACCGGGAAGCAAACCCGGGCCUCCGAAGCAUUGAGCGCUGAACUUUAACCACUAGGCCAUCAGGGCUGGCUUGAUUUUUACUGUAUUAAUAGAUGUAUAAUAGUAGCUCACUGUUUUCAUUUGCAGUUACCUAAAGACAAAUCAUUUUGAGCGUGUCUUCAUAUGUUUAUUUGCCAUCCGUGGAUCUUCUUUGCUGAGGUGGCUGCUCAGAUCUUCUUCCCUUUUUCAGAUUGAGAAGCUGUCUUACUGUUGAGUUUUAAGUAUUCCUGGUAUGUUUGGCAUAGAAGUUCUUUAACAGAUAGGUGUUUCGCAAAUAUUUUCUCCCAUUCUGUGGCUUGUCUUUUUAUUCUCUUACUUGUGUCUUUUUCAGAGCAGAAGUUUUAAAUUUUAAUGUGAAAUCCAACGCAUCAAUGUUUUCUUUCAUGGUCGUACUUUUGGUGGUGUGUCUAAAACCUCAUCACCAAACCGGAAGUCCCCUAGAUUUUCUCCUCUGUGUUCUUCUAGAAUGUUUAUAGUCUUCUGUUUUACCUUUAGGUCUGUGAUUCACUUUGAGUUGAUUUUUGUGCAAGGUGUAAGAUCUGUGUCUGGACUCCUUUUUUUUGCAUAUGGAUGUCAGAUUAUUCCAGCACGUUUGCUGAAAAGCUUAUCCUUCUACAUUUAAUUGUCUUUGUUCCUUCGUCAAAGCACGGUUGACUCUGUGCUCUCUAUUAUGUUCCAUUGAUCUAUGUGUCUAUAUUUUCACCAACACCUAGCUGUAUGGAUAGCUUUGUAGCUUUGUAAUAUAAAUCUUUGUAGCUUCAUAAUAAGUCUUGACAUUGGGAAGUGUGAGUCCUCCAACUUUUUCUUCAGUGUUGUGUUGGCUGUUCCAGGUGUUCUGCCUUUCCACGUAAACUUCAGAGUCGUUAUGUCGAGAUCUACAAUAUAGCUUGCUGAGUAUUCGGGAGUGUGCUGAAUCUACAGAUCAAAUUGGAAACAAUUAACAUCUUAACAAUCUUGUGACUUUCAAUCUAUUAACAUAGAAUAUCUCUCCGUUUAUUUAGAUCUUCUUUGAUUUAUUUCAUCAGAGGUUUGUAGUUUUCUUCAUAUGUAUUUUCUACAUAUUUUGUUACAUUAACCUGUAUUUCAUUUCUUUGGUACUAUUGUAAGUGAUACUGUGCUUUUCAUUCCAAAUUCCAAUCGUUCUUUGCUGGCAGAGAGGAAAACAAUUAACUUUUGUACCUUGUAUUUGCUAUUGUCACUCUCUCAUUUUAGUUGUCCUAAUAGGUUUGUAGUGAUAUCUUAUUGUGGCAUUAAUUUGCAUUUCUCUGAUGGCUAAUAAUAUGGAAUAUCUUCUCAAGUGUUUAUUUUCUAUCUAUAUAUCCUUUUCAGUGAAAUAUCUGUUCAUAUCUUUUGCCUAUUUUCUAAUUAGAUUGUUUGUUUUAUUACUGUUGAGUUUUGAUGUCUUCGUGUAUAUAGUAGAUAAGAGUUCUGUAUAUCUGUGGUUUGCACAUGUGUUCUCCCAGUCUUUCACUUUUCUUUCCAUCCUUUUAGUGGUCUUUCACAGAUGAAAAGUUUUUAAUUUUGAUGGAGUUCAAUUUAUUGAUGUUUUUCUGUUAGGAAUCUCAUUCUAUGCAUUAUCAUUGAUAUGCUUCCAUAGUUUCAAAAAUCAAAUAUGUUUAGAUGAUAACAAAAUCCCUGUAGCCCUGUCUGACAACUCCGUUGACUCCUCUUCCUCUCUCACACCCCACAUUCAAUCCAGCAUAAACUGUCAAAGACACACCCACGCACACAUAUGUACACGUACACAAAUAUAUACAAAACCAAACCAUCUUUCACGCCCACCGCCCUGUCCAAGCCGCUGUGGACUCCCACCUGGACCUGCUGCCCUGCUCACUCUUGCGUUCUCUUCCCGUCCCGCAGCCAGGAUGGUCCUGUUAAAACCCAAGUCAGAUUAGGUCUCACUUUACUCUUUGCUCAGACUCCCCCAGUCCAUGUUUAGCUCACUCACAGCAAAAUUCGAAGCUCUUACCAUGGCCUACGAGGCCUUCCACAACCUGUGCCCUCCUCUCCACUCUCUCCUCGUCUCCGGUGCUCCCCUUGCUGACUCCAUUCCAGGGGCAUUAGCUUAAGAGCUGUUCUCUGAAGACUCUGGACAUCCUGCAUUGCAUGUAGCCGUUCCCUCUGUCCAGAGGCUCUUCCCUCGGCUAUCUGCAUCGCUCUCUCCAUCACCUCUUUCAGGCUUUUGCUCAUACGCCACCUUCAGAUGAGGCCCACCCUUCCCACCCAGGUAAAUCGAACUCAUGCUGCUUUCAAGCCCCAUAUCCUGCUUUUGUCUCCAUAGCAUUGUUACCUUCUAACAUACUAGAAAAUUUACUUAUUAUGUUUGUUGCUUAUUUUCUUCCCCCACAAAAGAACAUAGGUUCUGUAUAGGUCUGAAUUUUGCCUGAUGUUUUCUCUUGGUUCUGGCACAUAGAACAGUGCCUUAACAAGGCCUCAGUAAAUACGGUCAGUGAAAAACUGACUGAAUCAACUGCCUGUGACACAGGCGUCUCAUAGUAUUCGGAGUUGAACUUAAUGUUUUUCCAAGAUUUUUAAGAAUUCAUAUCUUUAAGUCAGAAAGUUAGGAUGGGCCUCAUCGUGCUGCAGUUGCGUCCUCGCCACCCCACGUUUAACUCCACUAGAGCAGAGCUCAGUGGGCAGUGUUUGCAUGAUCCUGCUGAGGCUCCUCCGUCUCUGGCUGGACCCCGUUCAGUUCUUUCUUUACACAACAGCCACGGAGACUAGAAAUAUCUCUAUAGCUACAUAUCACUGUCACUUUUUUGCUUCGAAUCUUCUCAUGGCUCUCCGUUAUUUUCAAGCUAAUGUCUAAAUGCCGCACGGUGUGUAGGUUGACAUUCCUUGUUUACACUCCAUCCACACCUUGGAUGUCACUGUUCCACUGACUCACACCCUCUCCCUUGCCUGCCUGUCGCGUGCUAUUUCUUUGGCCUAAAAUAGUCCUUUGCCACCUGGUGCUUCUCCUCCUUCUUCAGGUCUCAGCUGCAGUCUCGUAUCCCCAGCUGUAGCUAGAUGCCCCUCUUACCUUCUCUGCAACCUUAACACUUACUCCUUAGGAUGUAAUUGUUCCGUCUUCAUCUGUCUUUCCUACUGUAUUGUAAACUCCUCCAGAAAGAAUGUCUUUCACCUCCACAUGCCCACGGCCUAGUGCGGGGUCCAGCGUGGAGUCGUCAUUCACUAAUGUUUUAGUAAAAUAUUAUGUGAAGAGCAGAGGUCAGUGCCUACUGCCGGCCUCUUUCCUCCAUCUGUAAGAUGAGUCUCCUGGCUAGUGAAAUGCUUUAAGAGGAUUACAUUUUCAGCGACUUGGGGGUGGGAGAGACACAGCAUGGACUUUGGGGUCAGCUCAGCUUGAAUGGAAUUGGAACUCUUGUGGUUUGGUAUCUGCAGUGGUGUAGACUAGAGCCAUCUGUCUCUGGUAUCUGGCAUUGGUCACUAAUUUGGUGACUUCAGGCAAAUUAGUUGCGAUCUUUGUGCCUAUUUCCCAUCUGUAAAUGUGAAUAUAAUAAAUAUACAUGCAUCCUAGAGCAGUUGUCAGAUUUUUAGUUUUCUUUAUAGUUAACUAAUUUUAGCUUUUUUCUCCCAAAUAGUACCCCUCCAUCCUUAUUCUGGAAAAGGAAGACAUGUACUCAGGGGUCCUUGUGCUUUUUUAAAACAGAAUGACAAGAAUUGCUCAGUCAUAUGUCACAUCCUAGGUCUGUAAUUGUCCUUGGUGUAUGUGCAGAUGUGUGCCCUCUUCCCUCACUUGCCCCGGCUCAGGAACCUGGAUGCUGCUGGCUCCAUACUCUCCAGUGAGUGUGAGUGUGAGUAAGUAAUUUGCCUAGGUCUAAAUUAAAAGAAAAAAGUCAAAGAAGAACUUGCCACAUUAAAAAAGACUCAGCGUGUAGAGUCUGGAUUCCUAGUGUGCACCAGGGAUGAGCCAGCAACUCCAAGGUCAGAGAGGCGGGUGAGAAGCGGCAGCUCCACCAGGCAGGGCCGCGUCACCUGCCCUCCCUCCCCCCACCAGCCAACUGCAUCCUGGGCCACCGUUCCCUACACUCAGGAUGCAGUUUGAAUGGUCGCUUGUGGCCAUCAAGUUGAGCUACUUUCCAGACCCCAUUAGGUGGCACACAGUUAAUUCUCUCUUCGCAUGUUACCGUUCAUACAAGUCAAUAUUUUCUCCACACAUGAUUUACAGAACAAAGACACAUGAGAAUUAUGUAAAGAAACAAUGACAAGGCUUUACUCCUGAGGCCGUGGAAGACAGACAAGGGUUUCAGGAGGAAACUGGGGAAGGGGAAGGGGCAAAUGCAGGCAGCAGUGGGCAUCGCAGCUGCUGUGACUGGUGGGAAAUGGGCCGAGGGCCUCCUCCUCCUGGGCUGAGGCCUCUCUGACUGCGAGUCUGCCGGGCUAACAGCCUCCAGCCACCCAAGCGUGGGGGCAGGUCUUCUGGGAAGGGGAUGGGAAUAGAAUGCUGUCCCUCUGGAGAGAGAGCUGACUGACUUGGUGGGGGGAGUGGGUCCCUGAGUGUAUCCUCCCUCAGGGGCAGUUCCCCAGGGAAGGCUGGUUGCGCGAUCUCCCACAGUCCUCCUCAAAGGUACCAGUGAGGAACACGCGCCAAAACCUGAGGGCCCCAGGAAUGCAACCUCCUCUUACAACCAGACUGGGCAAGACAAAGGAUUAGGGAGGCUGAUCCCCCAGCCCCUUGCAAAGAUGCCAGGGGGAGAAUCAUGUCUUACCUGCCCUCCAGCAGGUCACCUCCAGGGAAAGGCACGAGGCAAGUUCUACCUGGGCUUGCACUGGAAACAGGCCAGCUCAGGGUAGGCAGGUUGGCGAUGUGUGCAUGCCUCUCUCCAGGCCCCACAGUGGAACUCUUUCACGGCCGCGAGCGGACUUUCAUCUGGUCUCAUUCUGCCUUUUUGCCCCAAUGCUUAGAGGUCUUGGAGCUCCAGCUUGCUAGGGGAAUGCAGAGAUCCGGGGCAGAUUCGCAUGACCAAUCAGGUGGGCCUGGUGGACAAGUGUACGUGGCUGUUUCUAGAGGCAGCUGUUCUCUCAGACCAGCGUUCAUUUCCUAGAGCCUGGGAACUUGGAUCCUGAUCCAGAGGAGAGUGAACUGGUUGAUGGCCCAACAGUUCUGCCCCAACAAAGCCCUGAUGAGGUGAUGAGGGAACCCCAGAGGCAAGACGGCUGCUUGCUUUGCCUGCGCCAGAGCCAGGGUUCUGGGCGUAAAGGCUGCCAUGGAUGCGCAUCUAAGCACAGCCUCGCUCUCCGUGGUGCAGGGCCUUCCACUGGCAGCAAGAGGCUCCGCUGGAUGGGCCCUGGGCUCUGACUGAAGGUAGGGACGUUAGUGCUUUCAGACACAGGAUUCUCCUUGGGGGGCUGGGCUUCCUGAUCAACAUAGAGGGAGUCUGGCUUGGGCGCCCCAGGUGUUCAGGCCCAGACUUCCCCCAUGAUUGUGGCACUGGAGGCCUCUAUCGUUUCCGCUCCAAAGCUGAGUGCUCCAGUGGUGGAGCUCAGACGUGGGGCAGCCUCUCUGCUCCCCAAGCCCAUCGGUGCUGCUGAAUCUCCCAGCCUGAGGGGUGGAGCUGUGCUGCCAGAUGCUGAGCAGUGCUGCCAAAUGUUAGGCCUAACAUUGCUCACACCACCAGGUGUGUAGGUGGCAGCUGUAAAGCCAGCGGCACUGUCCAUCAUGUCAGAGGGGAAAACAGUUUGAGGGCCACUAAAGGCUAGCUGUCUGCUGGCAUGGGUGCCCUAGGUGGAAGUUGCGGCUGAUGAACCCUCAAAAGCUGACUGUGUGGUGCUGGCCAAACUGGCUGGCCUGGAGUAGAGGUGGAGGCUGGGACUAGAGCUGGAGCUGCGAGGUCUCCAAACUGGGAGGAGCUGUCCAAGGUGGUAGCUUGGUGCUACUGCCCAUCAGGGGCUCCAACUGUGGGCUGAGUGGGGUGCUGCUCCAGAGCCCAGGGAAAGCUGAAAUGUUGGGAUGGGGCCUGAGACGCUCCAUGCAGGGUGGUGGUUUCUGUGGCUGAGGCAGCAUGGCCACUAGAGGGUGUCUGUCAGGCCUGGUCAGAUGGAAAGAAGCUCGCACUGGAGCCAGCGGGAAGCCCCAAGAGGAGAGUGUGGGAAGGUGGAUGGAUGGCCCUAGGUGUGGCCUGAAGGUCACAAGCAGGCUGGGAGCCGAGCCUGCAGAUUUGCUCGCUGAGGGGCUGGAACUAACUUCAGAAACAGCAGCUAGCAGGCCGGUGGGGAGAGGAACACUAGGAUCAGUAGCUGGAGAGGGAGGGGUCUGUGAGAAGGAGACAGGAGAAUCCACGCACGUGCUUAUAGAGGACUCUGCUCUGUGUAACAAGAUUCACAGGAGGAUUGAGGUGCCGGGGACAGGGGGAAGGUGGAACUGGAAUCUGCUGCAGCUGUGCCUGAGGCGUUGGGGUACAAAGGGCCUCCUUCCUUCCCCUUCAGAGGGCACCCCCAGAUGGGCUUGGACAGAAAGCGAGGAAGAUACUCAGCAGCAGCUGUAGGAGUGGGCGACUCAGGAAUUGAGCUGCUCAUUUCACAGUUCAUCAGUGGGAUGGAGGAGGAAUCAGGGACGGGAGGGUCUGGGGCCUAGCAGGCAGGCCAGCGAGAUCGUGUCUGAAUAAUGCAGGAGGAGCAGGGGUCAGCAAGGGGAAAAGAGCUGAGGGCCUAAGUGUGAGGAGAUGCCUGGAAGGGGCUCUGACAGUGAGGAGAAGACGGGGUCUGGUGAGCUCCAGUCUGAGACAGACGACCCAUAGAGGUGGCUGCUCCAGCAGGUUCCAGGAUGGCCACUGAGCCUCAGGAGUCCUGCUGCUGCUUGCGUCUCUUUAGCUGAGGGCUAGAGGGGAAGCUGACGGAGGAGCGGUCCUCCAUCAACAGACAGGGAAAGAAAAAGCUGCGAGACACUGCAGUCCAGACGGCCUCAGUCUCGUCCCCAGGCCAUUGCUGAUGCGCUGGCACGCAGCUUCCUUCUCCAUGUCCAGGUCCACCUAGCUGGGGCGGACGGGGAGGGGUCAGAUUAGGAGGUUCCCCUCACCUUGGUGGCAGCAGAGGAAUUUUGCAUUUAUUGGAUAUAGAACUGUCGGGUCUACAGCUCCUGGUGUUUGUUUCUGCCCUGAGGUGGCAUCUGAAACCUUUACACUCUGGAUCUCCUCUGUGAUCCCACUGAAUCUGAGGAGCUGGACCCAUGGCCCUCCUUCCUGUGUGGACCCCUCAGGCAGCAGGGGGUGUGAGGUGGCUGGACCCUUCUCCUCUGCAGUGGCGGGAAACCGCGAGUGGAGCUGUAUGAGUUCGUAAUAGCCUUUCAUUUGAUGCAUGAGGUCCUAAGAAAGAUAUGGGAUUUCUUAAUGGAAGUGUCUGCUGAGCUCCUGGAAUAGAGGUGUCUCUUCAAUGGCCUAGGCCUGGGCUCAAAGCCAGAGAGGCCUGCACUGACCACGGGGGGCCUAAAUACGGACUGUAGACUCCCAGCGCUGUGGGGGGGCCCCUUCUCGGAUUGUCCCGCUUCUCCCUGUCUGCGGGGUAUUCCUCCUGUUUCACUAUUCCUCUCCCACUCUCUCUGAGGUCCCUCAAUAUCGUCUCCUCUGCGCAAGGGUCUAGGGGAUGACUGGAUGUUCCAGGGGGCAUCGAGGGGACUACCUCCUCCUAUUCCAAACAGAGAGUCAGUUUGCCCCCUAGGUAACUGAGCUGCAGGACGUUGUGGAGUUUUGAGCAGACAGCACCCACUUCCUUUGAUUUCUGUGUCAGGACACUGAAGCAAAGACCCCAGAAAGGAACACGGGGUCUGCAGCAUCCAACGGGAUGUAGUUACUGGAUGCUGGCAGCACCGUCUGACAGUGUUCUGGGGCAGAGGCAGACAGAUGAACUCAGUGGACAGGGGCAGAGCCCAGGCCCCUGUGUGGGACCUGUGUGUCCCAGGGGGUGGAGCGGUGGCAAGGACAGAAGCUUGCCCAGGUAAGGUCUCAUGAGGAGCAGUUCUAUAAUGUCACAGGGCAGGAGAGUUCUUCCUGAGCUUCCCACUGGGCCAGAGGCAAAGCUUGCUCUGCUUGGCGUGUUGCUAAAGAUGCAUAUUUGGAACGUGCGAGCAAAGACAGUAAGGGUGAUCAAAGUGCAUGAGGGGAAGGGUGCACAUGCGCAGAAUGCUCAGGGAAAUACCCCCCAAAGCGGGGCUCAGCUUCCCUGUGCCCUCUGACUCUUCUGUGGCUCCUGCUGCUGAAGGGAGAUGGGCUUAUUGGGAGGGCCAGUGGCUCCUCCUCCACUCGGUCCCAGUGCCCCAGGGGGAUUGUGCAGGACAGGGAUUCUUGAGGCUGCAGAGCGGGGACCACUGGGGAGUCGGGCUCAGGAUCUUUAGUGCUGGCCAGAGGUGGCAGCUCUGAGGUCAGCAAUUGUGUGUCUAUCUGUCCUUUCCCCUGGGGAUACUGGAGGAGAGAGCUGCUCAGAACAGGAGUAAGGAUGCCACUCAUGCGUGGGGGCCAUGGGGGCAGGCUGUGAAAGACAUACUUAACACUGUGACCCAACAAUCCUACUAGGUAUUUACUCAGGAGAAAUGAAAAUCUGUGCUUGUACAAAAUCUGCCUGUGAAAGAUUUUAGCUGCUUUAUUCAUGUUUCUUAGAUAAAAGACUAUUCAGGUUAUACAUAUUUUAUUGAGUGAGUAUAUAUGCGUGAGAGUAUGUUUAUUAGUGGUACCCCAAGGAUAACAAAUUGUUUAUCAAACUUUUCAAAGUCCAAUUAGAGUUAGUAUUUUACCAUUUCAGGUAAAACGUAGAAACCUUAAAACCAUAUAGAUUGUUUACCCUUCCCUCUUUAUAUUAUGGUUGUCUUAUGUUUUACAUCUAUAUGCAUUGAACCCUCCCCCACACACAGUGGUAUAAUUUUUGCUUUCAAAGUCAUAUUAACAUUCAAAGAAUUUAAGAGGACAAAAAUACGCUAACGUAUUUAUGCAAAUAUUUACAUUUCCAUUGCUCUUCCUUUAUUCUUGAAGUUUCAAGCUUUCUUCUCGCAUCAUUUGCCUUCAGUCUGAAAAAGUUCCUUUCUCAUCUUUUUAGAGGUUGGCUGAUAAUGAAUUCUCUUAGUUUUCCUUUAUGUGCAUCUGCGUUUAUUUUUCUUUCAUUCAUUAAGGAUAUUUUUGCUGGAUAUAGAACUCUAAGGUUGAUAAUUCUUCUGUUUCAGGAUUUUAAUGAUGUUGCCCCAUUGCUGGCCUCUGUGGAUUCUGACGAGUAAUCCUAAAUUGUUCAAAUUGGCUGUCUGUGUAUGUAUGUAUUUUUUUUCUCUGACUGCCUUCAAGAAUUUUUCUUCAUCUUUUUUUUCAGCAGUUUGAAUAUGAUGUGUUAGAGUGAGGUUUUCUAAGCUUCUUGAAUCUUUCACCAAAUUUGGGAGGUUUUCAAAUAUUUUUCUCUACACUGAACAUUUCCCCCUCUUUCUGGAACUCCAAUGAGAUGAAUCCUAAAGCUUCUGAUAACGUCCCACAGGUCUUGGACACUUUAUUAAGUAUGUGUAUGUGAAUAAACACUUUAUUUUGGAACAGUUUUAGAUCUAAAGAACUAUUGUAAAGAUUGUACAGAGAGUUCCCAUAUACCCCCAGCCUAGCUUCACCUGUUAUAAAUGUCUUACAUUGGUGUGAUACGUUUGUCACAAUUAAUGAAUCAAUAUUGACAUAUUGUUAUUAACUAAAGCCAAGACUUUAUUCAGAUUUCUUCAUUUUUCCCCUGACGUCCUUUUUGUGUUCCAGACUCCCACCCACAAUGCCACAUUACAUUUAAGAGUCUUGUGUCCUUACGCUCCUCUUGGUAUGACACUUGUCUCGUUUGUAGUGACCUAGAAACUUGUGAGGAUUACUGUCAGACAUUUUGUGGAAUGUCUCUAUUGGAAUUUCUCUGAGGCCUUUCUCAUAAGACUUGAAUAAUAUGUUUUUGGGAGGAAGACCACAGAGGUAAAAUGCCAUUAUCAUCACACUGUGUCAGGAGUACACUAUUAACAUGACAUCACUGUUGACAUUGACCUUAAUCGCCUCGCUCGAGGUAGAUUUUAUAAAUAUCCUCCACUGGAAAGUUACACCUUUUUUGACUAUUUCCUUACUGUACUCUUUAAAAGAAUGUCUUUAUGCACAAUUAAAGAGUGGGGAAAUAUGCUCCACCUCUCUAAGGGCAUGGUAUUUACAUUCAUCUGCAUGGUAGGUUUGUCUUUUUUCCUCAUUUAUUUGUUCAAUCAUUCAUGUCAGUAUGGGCUCAUGGAUAUUUAUUUUAUACUUUGGGUUAUAGUCCAAUAAUACUUUAUUAAUUUUGUUACUAAAAUUGUUGCACCUUUAGCAACUGGGAGGUCUUUUAGUUUGCUCUGUAUCUCUUUGAUAUAUCCCCAUCAUUGAAAGUUGUUUGUUUUGAGUCCUUCUCAGACCUAAAAGUUGCUCCAGCCUCCUCUUGUGUAUUUCCUGCCCCAUUCCUGGAAUCAGCCACUUAUCCAAGGAGCCCUGGUUCCUUUCAUUGGAAAGCACUAUUAGGAACCAAAGUCUGGUUGCUGGGGUGCUCACUGUGCCGUGUUGCUUCCAGACCCACUCAGUGGACAGAGCAAGGAGAUAUAUAUGUGUAUACUAACACAUGUAUAUACACAUAACUAUACAUAUUUUUAUAUCUAACCAUCUCUAUCUAUAUUAAGAUAAACGUGAGUUCACAAUUAUGUGGCUCUGUUCACUUUUGUUGAAUAUAUUUUUCUAUCUGUUCUUCAAAUUGUAUCAUUUAUAUUGAUCUAUCUUCAAGUUCAGUGACUUCUCCCUUCUCCAUCCUGUUAUUGAGCUCAUCAGUGAAUAUUUCAAGUAUUGUAUUUUUAUUUAUAAAGUUUCCAUUUGCUUCUUUUUCACAAUUUCUAUUUCUCUGCUGAGAACCUCCAUCUUUCCAUUCAUUUCAAGAAUAUUUACCUUUACUGCAUUGAGCAUGGUCUUAAUAGCUGCUUUGCUUGAUAAUUCCGUAUCUGGGUCAUUUUGAACUUGGAUCUGUUGAUUGUCUUGUCCUUUGAGAAUUGAUUAGACUUCCCUAGUUCCUGGUAUGUUAUUUUGAGUAGUUUGGGGUGGUAUCCUAGACAUUUUGCGUGUAAUGUUGUGAAACUGUGCAGAAUGAUAUUUUAUUUGAUUGUUUUAGGAAGCAGUCGACGCCGUUAUGCUUAGACUGUGUGUUUUGCUUGCCUUCUGUUGGCGGUUGCUCCAGUCUCGGUGCAGUUUUCAAGACUUGGCUCUGCUGUUUGUGUCCACAUCUUGCGCACAUCACUCAGGGGUUAAUCUGGGGCUCGAGUGGAGGUUUAUGUUGUGGUUCACUUCUCAGAGACUUGGCUCUGCUUGUGUGGAUCUCUUCUGUGCAUGUGCUGCUCCCUGUGAGCCUGGGACUCUGGUUAGUUCAUACGCAGGUGUAAGUGAUGCCCUUUUCCAGUUCUCGCCUCUUCAGGAUUUAUCUCCAUUCUCAAACUUGCAAGGGCCUCUUUCACAUGUUCCUCUCAGUAUUUAACCCUUUGUGCUGUCAUGCGGUUGUGACCAGGUCAGCCUUUGAGGUGACAGAGCUAGCCAGAGCAGAGAGGCAAAAUCACUGGGGAUUUCCCCCACACUCUUCAGACAGCGAGAGGCCCUUCACCUCUUCCUUGGCCAGAGACGCACGUAAUCACUCAGGUGCCUGUGCCCCUGCUGAAACUGCAGUCCCCGUCAUAACCGGCAUGGUCUUUGGGGUGGGCCAAGAGAGUAAAACAAAACGAAAUGAAACAGGGGUAGGCCCCACUCCCCAACACACAGAGGCACCCCCUCCCUGCCGUCUGGCUAGAAAUGGGGGGGUUCUCCCAGUGGUUUGCUUCCAGUGCCUGCUGUGCAGUCGCAGGAUUCCACCUGCCCUCGGGUGACAGCAAGGAGAUGAAGGCGGAAAAGCAGCCACUGUAAUCGCCCCUUACAGGUAGUUAUUCACAUUUUUACUUUGGUCCCCAUUUGUCUAGUAUUAUUUGCUUUUUCACUUCUCUGCAGUGUUUUAUUUGUAAUCUGCAAGAGAAAUCAUUCGUAAGGAUCUUGCUCUACUUUGGCUGGAAACAGAUGUUUGUAAUCGCUUCAAAAAUAAAAUUUUUUAUAAAUACACAUGUAAGAAAUGUUCUACAGUUAUAUGUAAAUAUUUUAAAUGCUACCAUUGUACACCAAAAUGUUAUUAGUGCUUGCCUAUAAAUAAGUCAUUCAUUUUGUAAUUUUCUGUAUUUUUCUGUAUUUUUGUGAUUAUCUGUUUUAAUUGUAUCAUUAAAAAAAAACCUCAAAGCAAUUUUGACUUCAGAUCUCCAACAAUUCCUAUGUAACCACAAUUUAAGUGUUUUGACCUGAGCAAAUAGAAUACUUGAAAAAGGGAAAAUGUGGAUUUCAGAUGGUGGCAGGGAUUAAGUCCAGCAAGAGAUGUCCUUGCAAAAGUUAGCAGUAGCUCAAGACUCUCCAGGGCAUUCAUGGCAGGAAAUCAAAGAGAAUCAGCACAUUCAACUCUAGAAAAAUACAGCAGGCUCACCCCAAUAUGGAUAGUUGAAACCAGGACAACUAGAUAUACUUAAGAGAAAAUAGUGCUUUACAAGGUUGAGAAAGGCAGAAAUGUAAAAAAAUAUUGAAUUAUGUGCAGUAUGCACAAUGCACCCUCCUACUCUUAAUACAGGAAGAAAUAGAAUGAAGAUGUGUCCUCAAGGCUAGUGCUUGUGUGCCAAUAUUUAUCAAAAUAAGGUCUUUAACUCCACACGUAGUUCAUUUUAGGCAUUUUCCAUUCUUCUCAAAAUAGUUGGAGAUAGUUAUUCUAAGGGUGUUUCAACUUCUAGAAAUAGAGAUCAUUGAAAAAGUGAAAAGAAAGAUAAAAUAAUUUUUUCCUGUCUUGACAAAUAGUCUCCAAUAUAAGAUAUACCCAUAAAGAUAGGACUGGGAACUUCAAGAUAUGGGUACUAACACGACCAUAAACGGAACAUCUUGUGUUGAAACACAGCACGUUGGAUGAAUAGGAGCACUUUAUUUAGAAUAUAGGUUAUGUGAGCACCUACAAACCCCGUCUGUAGUAGGAAUUUCCUUCGUUGCUUUUGGAUUCAGAAAGCGAAGGUGCUGAUGUACCCUCCACAGGAGGAGAUAAGUUGCCAGUGCUCUAAAGGAAACACUGCGAAGUUCAGAGACGUGGGCGUGUCGGGUCCUGGAGGGCAAAGGUCUAUCUCUCUAGACACCUGCAGGGGCUUGACUUUCUCAACUUGUGUUUCCUAGCUCAUUCUUUGUUGAUAGCACCUUCCUAAUCUUUGAUUUCUGCUUUUAAGGAUCUUUUAAAGCUGUAUGUCCUUCCUUUUCAGCUUCACAUUUGGCAGCCAUUUUUACCUCCAGGUAAAGCUUGAUUUACUUAAGUUAAUGUUAUAUUAUUCUCAUUCUAGCAGAAUGAAAAAAUCUAGAGUUAUUGUUAAGACACUUUUCAUUUAGCAUGACAUCUUGAAAGUUGAAUUACAAGUUGUAUUUUCCCAGGAGAAACCAUGGUAUAAAUAGGUGUUGAAUUCCAAUGUCAAUCCUUAAAACCCAUUUAGCCCAUAAACUCCCCUCUGCUUUUACAUAAUCGCCAGGUAGUUUUAAACAUAACCAGUAAAUGCCAUUUUAGAAGAAAAAUGUAGGAGAAUAUCUUUAUCACUUUGGAGGUAAAGAACUACUUAUUAAACCAGAUACAAAAAGCACAAUUAGUACAAAGACCUGCUAUUCAUGUUCCACCAGACUUCUUGGGACUCAGAGAGCCAGAUCCCAAAUGAUGACAAUGACUAUUUAUCCCCCAAUAGCAAGUUUUAAAGAGGAGUCUGGGGCUUAGAGAGUUGAAGCACCGCUUUGCCAAAGUUUCACAUCCGCAAAGGGACAUCCCCCGAGGAUGCCCUGGGUCCCCGAGUGCUCACCUGCAGCACCUUCAGCACCCUAACUUCUUGGUCCAAAACCUGCUCAUCACGGAAGCACUGAUCCUCCAUGAGCUGGGGAAUGCUCUGCCCGGUGUCCUCACUUCCCCCUUCCAGUCCCCCUGGGGCUGAAGGCUCUGCUCCAGGAGGGUGUCCAGCCUCUAUGCAGGGGUCUCAUCCAGGUCCUGGGAAGCUCCAUCUCUGCAGGACCAAGCUGCCCUUAGAAUAAACCUUCUUUUUUUUGAAGAGGGCACCUUCUAACCUUUCUCCAGAAAACUAACAGUCUAGAGAGGGGGAAGGAGAGGGAGAGAGGGAUUUAUCGUCCUCCCCACGGGAUGAAGGGCUGGGGCGUCUUCCCUGCAGCACGUAGCUCCCUUGCCUGGGCUGCCUGCACUCAGUAGCCAGCCUCCUUACUGGUGCUCCCUGCUCUCUUGACAUUUGGAGAUUGAAAUUGAAUUUGUAGAGUUGGAAUUUUCUCUUUCUAUUCAAGGCUGCCAAGAAAAAAGCCCAGGAGUUGGAGGCCUCCCGCGGGCUUCCCCACAGGCUCUCAGCCCGGGGAUUUUCAAGUGUCCUGGAGCUGGCCUCUCCCCUCUCCCCAUUUCCUACUGCGUGAGGAGGAGACUUUGACCCCUAAGGCAGCUCUGGCAGCUGGAGAGCAUCUGCUCCUGGGGUGGGAGCCGCUGGCUGCCUGGAGUGAGGGAUGCGGAGGCUCCACCUGAGCCUGGGGCCUGGGGCCUGAGACUGAAUGAUUUCUUUAUAUUUGAAAACAAGGCAUCUACAACUAUUAUUGCUUGUUUUGUUCCUUAUUAUAUGAGUAAUCCAUGUUCAUGGUGGAAAAAUUAGAAAGUGCACAUGUACAGAAUGGAGAAAAUAAGAACCAUCGGUAUAAUGCCUUCACCAAGGACCCUGACCAUUUACAUUUGGGCAUGUUCUUCCAUUCUUAUUUCUAGGAAAAGUGGGCUUUUUGCUUUUCCCGUUGACAAUGAUGGUAUAAUGCUUCCAUUUCUUGGGCACUUACUGUGUGCCCGUUCCUGUGCUUCACGCUCUCCACGACUUCUCUCAGUCACCCCUCACAACUCCGUGACGUGGAUCCUACUGGAAUCUCCACUGCAGACAAGGACAUGGGAGAAGACGGGUUUAUUCUGAAUUAUUUUGGCAGAAGAGUGCUUUUGCUCAGGGGCGUGAGGAAAGGCAGAGGAGUGUGGAGAAGAGCAGAGGGAGGGCAUGCUGUGUGUCCCUGCUGAGCCACAUGCUCGGGAACUAGCCUCAGAGCAGAGGGUCAGACCUAGAAGUGCAAGGACUUGACGUCACAGAGACAUGUGGGCCAAGCCCCUGCUGUGCGGCUCAGAGCUGGGGAGAGCGCCUUGUCUGUACCUGGCACCGAGCCCUCUACUGCCCUGGCAUCCUGAGCACGGGUGGCUUGAGGGCAAUGGGGGGCAGUGCUCUUAGCUGGACACAGAGACAGAAGGAGCAGAACAUGGGAGAUGUGCCUCCAAGUCCACAGGACCCAAAGAUCACUAAGCACCUAGGGAGGCCUGGGGAGACGGAGGUGGUCAUCCUCCAUUAGCUGAUAGGGAUGUGGGCUCUUGGGUUUCUGGGUUCUUGUUAAGGGGACUUCAGCUGACCUCACCUGCUGGGAAGACCUAGCACAUGUGCGUCAUGUUCCUGGCCUCUCUCCCAACCUUUCUACAGCUUUUUAAUACUGUCUUUUCCAAACUUCUCUGUGCUAUUUUGUCAAUUUACCCCUCUCUCUGCUAAGGGUUAUUCUACAUCCACCGGAAAAAAAAAAAAAAAAAAAAAA